UUUAGGGAGACCUACCCACUCAGAUAUCGAAAGCAUUCAGUCAAUAGAUAUUGAGUUGGUCAUCCUAAGGUCGGUCGCAGAUAUUGUCAAUGGCUUUCAAACUAUGAUUGGUUCGUUUAGGGGCUAUUAGCUCAGGUGGUUAGAGCGCACCCCUGAUAAGGGUGAGGUCCCUGGUUCGAGUCCAGGAUGGCCCACCUGAAUCAAUUAAAAAUUCCCAAUUAAGAAUUAAAAAGGAAGAAACACUUUUUUAAUUUUUAAUUCUCAAUUUUUAAUUGUUGGGGGGUUUAGCUCAGUUGGUAGAGCGCCUGCUUUGCAAGCAGGAUGUCAGCGGUUCGAGUCCGCUAACCUCCACCUAGUGUGACAGUGACUGAAGUGAACGAACAAGGCUAGUAAUAGCCAAGAAAUGUUAGAAUUACUUUUGUGGCGGUCAACGCCAUAUGGUAUGAUAAUAAAUUGGGGAUAAAUCCAGCAAUUGACGAGAGAGUCAAACUGCUGGGAAAUGUUCCAGCCAGAACCUUGAAAACUGCAUAGUGACGCGAAAGAAUAGCAGGCAGACACAGACAUGAUGAUUUUAAUGAUGUCAGUGGAUGCAUGGAGAAACACCAAAAUGUUUGAGU
rnacentral:tRNA from 1 species